rnacentral:rRNA from 1 species
GACGAACGCAAGCGGCGUGCUUAACACAUGCAAGUCGAACGGGAACCUUUAUUUCGGUAAAGGUGAGAGUGGCAAACGGGUGAGUAACACGUAGGCAACCUGCCGACAGGAUGGGGACAACAUUCCGAAAGGAAUGCUAAUACCGAAUGGAGUCCGGAGAUGGCAUCAUCUCUGGAUAAAAGAUGGCCUCUGAAUAUGCUAUCGCCUGUCGAUGGGCCUGCGUCUGAUUAGCCAGUUGGCGGGGUAACGGCCCACCAAAGCGACGAUCAGUAGCCGGUCUGAGAGGAUGAACGGCCACAUUGGGACUGAGACACGGCCCAGACUCCUACGGGAGGCAGCAGUGGGGAAUCUUCCACAAUGGGCGAAAGCCUGAUGGAGCAACGCCGCGUGAGUGAAGAAGGUCUUCGGAUCGUAAAGCUCUGUUGCACGGGACGAAAACCGGGUUUGAGAAUAUUGAACUUGGGUGACG